rnacentral:tRNA from 1 species
AAAAUCCGUCGACUUUAUAAAUCGGGAUGGGUCAAGGCCCUCUAUCCCCA